UCCAUCAAAAUUGAACGACGAGUGAAUUCUUGGUAGGGGAUACUGACCAUGUAAUUGGAGCUUGGUGGAGGGUCAAUCACCUCAACAACAAGUCUGUUUUCUAUCUUUUUCCCUCUUAAGGCUGAUGAUGAUUUGUUCCAAAAUCUGCAGUCUCAUAUUUGAGCCCUAAAACAAUUUUUCUGCCCCCUAGUUGUGGACUGUCUCGUUCAUUCACUUCGAACAUAAUCAAAGAAUGACUGCUGAUGCGAUCAAAUGAGAAUUCUUAACGCUUACACAUGAUCGCAUAACUAGACACGUCGAUGAUUCCAAGCGAUGAGAAAUGACGCGACACAUGGGUGGUGAAUGUCAAAUCGAAGAUUGAGUUGGUGGCUGAUAAGAAAGCUUCGAUGCAGAACCAAUGAACCUCUAACACACAGU